ACGGCCUCUAGUGCAGAUCUUGGUGGUAGUAGCAAGUAUACAAGAGAGAUCCUUGUAGACUGAAGUGGGGAAAGGUUUCGCGUGAACAGCAAUUGGACGCGAGUGAGUCGGUCCUAAGCAUGGCCUGAGAUGGUGGAAUGGAUGAUUGUUUGAAAGAUAUCAAUCCGCGUGCGAAAGGGAAUUGCGUUAAUAUUCGCAAACCAGAGGUUAGUGUUUAAUGCGGUAACGCUAGCGCUGUUUGGAGACGUUGGCGAGCAUCCCGGGAAGAGUUCUCUUUUCUUUUUAAUUCUUUCUUUAAUUAAUCACCCCGGAAGUCCUUUGCGGAGCGAGGGGGCGAUUGAAGAAGCAGAGCAGCCCAGUUUUGGGGUUGUCCGGUGCAUGUUCGACGGCCCGUGAAAAUCCAAAGGGCGGCAUCAUUUUGCCUCUGGCCGUACUGAUAACCGCAACAGGUCUCCAAGAUGAAAAGUCUCUAGUCAAUAGAAGAAUGUAGAUAAGGGAAGUCGGCAAGAUAGAUCCGUAACUUCGGGAAAAGGAUUGGCUCUGAGGGUUGGGCCUAGGGGUCUCUGUAAUUAUGUUAGACGGCCUACAUUGGAUUGUGGCGCUCUCACGGGCACUACGAACCAGUGGUCGGGCUGUCUUUCGGCGGGACAGAGGACGAACUUUGUUCUUUCCCUAGUGCGAUGAACAACCGACUCAGAACUGGAGCGGACAAGGGGAAUCCGACUGUUUAAUUAAAACAAAGCAUUGCGAUG
rnacentral:rRNA from 1 species